GUGGGGAAUCUUGCGCAAUGGGCGAAAGCCUGACGCAGCCAUGCCGCGUGGAUGAUGAAGGUCUUAGGAUUGUAAAAUUCUUUCACCGGGGACGAUAAUGACGGUACCCGGAGAAGAAGCCCCGGCUAACUUCGUGCCAGCAGCCGCGGUAAUACGAAGGGGGCUAGCGUUGCUCGGAAUUACUGGGCGUAAAGGGCGCGUAGGUGGACAGUUUAGUCAGAGGUGAAAGCCCAGGGCUCAACCUUGGAAUUGCCUUUGAUACUGGCUGUAUUGAGUACGGGGGAGGUGAGUGGAACUCCGAGUGUAGAGGUGAAAUUCGUAGAUAUUCGGAAGAACACCAGUGGCGAAGGCGACUCACUGGCCCGUUACUGACGCUGAGGCGCGAAAGCGUGGGGAGCAAACAGGAUUAGAAACCCGAGUAGUCC
rnacentral:rRNA from 1 species